GCUAACUCCGUGCCAGCAGCCGCGGUAAUACGGAGGGUGCAAGCGUUACUCGGAAUCACUGGGCGUAAAGCGCGCGCAGGCGGGCUAAUAAGUUGGAUGUGAAAGCCUACGGCUCAACCGUAGAACUGCAUCCAAAACUGUUAGUCUAGAGUGUGGGAGAGGAAGAUGGAAUUAGUUGUGUAGGGGUAAAAUCCGUAGAGAUAACUAGGAAUACCAAAAGCGAAGGCAAUCUUCUGGAACAUUACUGACGCUGAGGCGCGAAAGCGUGGGGAGCAAACAGGAUUAGAUACCCUGGUAGUCCACGCCCUAAACGAUGAAUGUUAGUCGUCGGGUAGCUAGUCUAUUCGGUGAUGCAGCUAACGCAUUAAACAUUCCGCCUGGGGAGUACGGUCGCAAGAUUAAAACUCAAAGGAAUAGACGGGGACCCGCACAAGUGGUGGAGCAUGUGGUUUAAUUCGAAGAUACGCGAAGAACCUUACCUAGCCUUGACAUAUUUUAGAACACUUUAGAGAUAGAGUGGUGCCUUCGGGAGCUAAUAUACAGGUGCUGCACGGCUGUCGUCAGCUCGUGUCGUGAGAUGUUGGGUUAAGUCCCGCAACGAGCGCAACCCUCGUCACUAGUUACUAACGGUUCGGCCGAGGACUCUAGUGAGACUGCCUUCGCAAGGAGGAGGAAGGUGAGGACGACGUCAAGUCAUCAUGGCCCUUACGGCUAGGGCAACACACGUGCUACAAUGGCCAGGACAAUGAGAAGCGAUACCGCGAGGUGGAGCAAAUCUAUAAACCUGGUCUCAGUUCGGAUAGCAGUCUGCAACUCGACUGCUUGAAGCUGGAAUCACUAGUAAUCGUAGAUCAGCUAUGCUACGGUGAAUACGUUCCCGGGUCUUGUACACACCGCC
rnacentral:rRNA from 1 species